rnacentral:tmRNA from 1 species
ACCCUUCAAAAACCCCUCCGGACACCCUAGAUUAGGCCUGUCGGGGCAACCCGACUAUGGCGAUAAACGCCGUGCGGAAUAGGCGUUACGGACCCGGGGGCAGUACCCGGCGCCUCCACCAUGAACCCAGGCUGGGCCGGAAUGGCUUUACCCUGGGUUGAUGCUGGGGGCGAAUCAGGCUCGACGUGCGCAGUAAAAACACGGUUUUUGCCCGGCAUGAUACCGCCGUUAUCGGGUCAAUCUCUAAGUGCCAACGACAAUCGCGUUGCACUCGCUGCCUAAUAGGUAAGCGCGGCUCGGGGGGCGCCGGGCAACAGAAGCCCCCCACU